rnacentral:tRNA from 1 species
UGGGGUAUCGCCAAGCGGUAAGGCACCGGUUUUUGAUACCGGCAUUCCCUGGUUCGAAUCCAGAUACCCCAGCCA